rnacentral:miRNA from 1 species
CACCUAGGGAUCUUGUUAAAAUGCAGACUCUGGCUUAGGAGUAGAGCCUGAGAAUCUGGAAUUCUAACAAAUUCCCAGGUAAUG